rnacentral:lncRNA from 1 species
AGAAGGGAGAAACCUAAAGUGACGAAUAAGUGAACAAUUAACUUUAGAUAACUAAGAGAAAUUUACUACAAUGUAGAGAGCUUUUCGGUAGUGGCAGGGAUUCUCUUGAACCGUUGGUGGCGUGAACUUAGAGAGCUAGAAAGAGUGAAAUAUUCUUGCACAUUACAACUCAACUGUGAUGGAAAGGUAUAGAUUUAAUUUUAUCACUAUGACUAUAUUUCUUGAAUUAAUCUAGGAGGGAUAUUAUCACUAAUUCUUUUUCUUAUAGUGACAAAGAUCGAAUUGGAACAGAGUGGCCAUGGAAAACAUUGUAGUAUUUAUUAGGCCUUGGUAAUAUGAGUAGAAUUUUGUAAUGAAAACCUUACUAUUUAAUAAUGGAUAAGAACUAUUUGAGAUUGUCUUUUUGAAGUCAGAACACUUUGCAUAUGGAAUUCGUUUUAGAGUUUUGUAUAUAUUGUUAAAUUAGUUGCAUUACAUAAAUUCAUGUAAUAAGGUUUGAAUUCCUCAACUCACGUAUAGUUACAGGUGCAUUAAUGAGCGUAAAGUUUAGGACGCUUAGAAACCCUUUUAAGCCAGGCAAAUAAGCUUUGAAUAUGUGAAUUAUUAAGGGAUUAGUCGACUGUUUAGCAUAUCAAUUGUUAGAUUUAGUAUAAGAAUUCAUAUUUGACUUAUCAUAGUAUCAAGAUUGAAACUUGAUGAUAGAUUGGACUCUACGACUUAUGGGUAACUCGAUAAUAUAAUUUGUUCGGGGAUUUAGCCAUAAUCAAUGGGGAGUCGACUUUUGAGUUAACUUUAUUUUGAAUGUUUCAAAAGAAUUAUGAGAUCAACUUGACUAUUAUAAUUGAUAUCGUUAAUCAAUACUUUUGGAUAGAUUGAUGUUGUUGGAGGCUAUUUGAUUGGUGUUCUAGACGUUGCAAGGUUGGAAAACUUUUCGUUAGUGAGGUAAGUGAAACUUUAAGCUUUGAUGCUUGCUUUUAUAAAACCCGUUUUGAAAAUGUGUUUUCUCUGCCUGGUCCAUGUGUUGGGACAAGCGUGCGCUUGGCAGAAUCGGUGGUCUUAAACUAGCCGUAAAUAUAUUAUUUUAUGAAAAAUAUAAAAAAAAAUAUUUUAUAAUUAGUUUGAUAGUUUGAUUUGGCUGUGAGCCAUGGUGUUGAGUUUGAUACGGCUGUGCGCCAUGAUGUUGAGUUUGAUACGGUUGUGCGCCAUGAUGUUGAGUUUGAUACGGUUGUGCGCCAUGAUGUUGAAUUUGAUACGGCUGUGCGCCAUGAUGUUGAAUUUGAUACGGCUGUACGCCAUGAUGUUGAGUUUGAUAUGGCUGUGCGCCAUGAUGUUAGUUUGAUACGGCUGUGCGCCAUGAUGUUGAGUUUGAUAUGGUUGUGCGCCAUGAUGUUGGAGCAUUGUGUAUGCAUUUGUACAUCACCCGACCAUUGUGUAUGCUUCUUGAUAUAUUUGGGGCAUUGUGUAUGCUUCUGUGAGCAUUGUGUAUGCUCUGUUACAUAUUUGAGACAUUGUGGUGUNNNNNNNNNNNNNNNNNNNNNNNNNNNNNNNNNNNNNNNNNNNNNNNNNNNNNNNNNNNNNNNNNNNNNNNNNNNNNNNNNNNNNNNNNNNNNNNNNNNNNNNNNNNNNNNNNNNNNNNNNNNNNNNNNNNNNNNNNNNNNNNNNNNNNNNNNNNNNNNNNNNNNNNNNNNNNNNNNNNNNNNNNNNNNNNNNNNNNNNNNNNNNNNNNNNNNNNNNNNNNNNNNNNNNNNNNNNNNNNNNNNNNNNNNNNNNNNNNNNNNNNNNNNGUUCGAUUCAGACUUACCUAAUUCAUGUUAGUUAUUUUCUUUUUUUCUUUGGGGUUUGCAUACCCGUCAAUAAAACUCAUAUUACUCUGUUAGAUGCUCUAUGGUCUUAGUGUGGGAUUUGGGCUAGAGUUUUAUUAUUUGAGUGAUUUUUGGUUUUCCUAUUAAUUGAUUAAGGUAUUGGGCAAUAAUUAUUUCCUCUUUAAUUAUUAAUAAUACUAAUAGGCCUACAUUUUUUUCUCUUAGUGUUUGUGUAAAUGAUUAAACGUUAGAGAAAGGGGUUCGCCUGGCAGGUAGUGUUAGUUGAAUGCCAGUCACGUAUAGGGGGUAGUUUGGGACGUGACGAAGUUGGUAUCAGAGCUUAGGCUUUAAGUCCCGCGUCAUGGAGCAGUGUUUGGUAGAGUCUUGUUCAUGGGUAUGUAGACGUCCAUACUUAUGACCUUGAGACUACUGAACAUCUAGGAUGUUGUCUCUUCUUUCAUUCUUUAUUCGUGCGCUGCGCUGAACCAAGUUAAACAUUGAGAUAAACUUUCGCAGAUGGCUAGGACACACGUAUCCUCCUCUGUCGGACGACACUAGAAGUUUGAAAAUAUGUACAACUAAGAGCUUCCUUGGGUACAUGGGAUUUGCAUCUCUUGUUGUUGAGAUUGGAAAGAUCAUAAAUUUUGGGAUGACUAUUUCUAAAGAAAAACUUUGCCAAAAUUUUUAUUUUUAAAGAAGUUCGAGGGUUAGUCAAAACUUUGGACUAUUGUAAAAUAGUCUAAGGAUUUUUUUUCUUUCUUUUUCCUAAGAUUGAUUUGUUUAAAAUUCGAGGUUGCAGACACAACUCUCUAUUGUGAGUUUGAUCAUGAGAGGAAAGAAUUGAGCGCAAAACUAACAAACGUAAUAGCUUAGCCACGUUUUGGCUAUUGUGAUUGGUAGUAAAAGAUAUUUUGAAAAAGAAAAAAAAGCUUAUAUAGUUCUCAACUUAAUGUCUAAUGAAGUGAUUUGAUAGUAUUAAGAUAUUAUACGUGUGAUUGUGGUGUAAGAAUGCAUAAAUUAAGUGCACUGACUAGAAGUAUAAUAGUGGCACUAAGUGAUGCAAAACCUAUUAAUGGUGAUCGAGAGCUUGUAGAUAAGUGCCAGCUUGGGAGAGAAAAUAAUACUUAAGCAUAUGCUUAAUGCACCAAUAUAGUAAGAGAAUUUUAUGAAACUUGGCACAGUGAUAUGUUUAUCCAUUAAAGUAAGGGUAAGACAUGGAGUAUUGAGAUUGUCAUGCAAAAAAAAAAAUUACUUGACUGUCAUCGAGAAAACUAAUUAGUUCACACAAUUUUGUUAACAUACAUUGUGUUCGCUAAAGCAUAUGUUUGAGUAAGACGAGAAACACGUUAACGAGAUGGCAAUAUAGAUGAGGAUAAAGAGAUGACUUGAGCACUUAGAUGUAUUAUUUGCGGUUUCGACCUAAGUGGAAAAGUCUACUAUUAUUGGCUAUUAAAUAUGUGUGGAUCCGGUUUAGAAUCACCAUAUAUUUAUUGACUGGUUAUAAAUUGGUACGAUUGACCUUGAGGUUAUCUUUGGCUUGGAUUGAAUGACUUAAUGUUAUCCUAAGCUUAGUUUACAUGACAAGACUAUUGGAUGUUUCAUUCCAGUUGAGGAUAGUAGUGAAUAUAAAGGAGUCACUUGGUAUGCUUAUAGGCUAAGCUACCCUAUCAAUAAAAGUUCUAUAUAUAUAGUAAGUGAAAAGUAUGUGUUAUAUCUAAGUAUAACUUGGGGCACCAAGGGUGAGAAACUGAUUAUUAAGUUAGUUUUAUUAGUUAAUGAGUCCUCGAAUGUGUUUUUAGAGAGCCUACCGAGUAUACCAUUUAAUAUGGAGAGAGAUUUGAGUAGCGACGUACUGCAAAACGAAAAAAAAUUGCUAGUCUAUUUUCGUUAUAUGGACUGGCUUUAUGGAGUCAAAGUAACUAAAAUAACAAGAUGCAGGACUUUGUGAUUAAGAAGUCACCAAACCAAGUAUAUCACUUUGAGGUGCUUAGUUCUGUCCAUUGAGAGGAUCAGUAGACUAUACAUAUAUUCAUCAAUAAUAGACAUAUGACUUAUAUUGGCAUAAAGGGGAAAGUAUCGUUUCAUGCUUAGAUGAUUUGUAUCUUCACUUAUAGGUUAUCUUUUAUUUUAAGAUAGAUUUGUGAUUGUGACAUUAUAAGUGGAAGGUAAAUGAGUUGGAUAAUCUGAAGAUAUGGUCUAAGAUCUAUUUUAGUUAGUUUGAACUUCUGAUGACAUCUCUUGGAUACCGAGGUCAUUAGUAAUGUCAUGAACUAGAGGAACCAAGUGUUUAAAUUGUUCCUUAGAAUUCUUAUUAUUAUGUUCAUUAAUGAAAUAUGGAAAUAUUUUCCUACUCGAAUUGAGCAUAUGGAGGGGUUGAGGAGGGUCUUAUAAACAUCAAAUAAUCUUUUUAAAUACCGAGAUCGUAAGUAUAAUCUUUAAUUUUUAUACUGCGAUAUUUUGAAUCAUGUGAUGCUAAGGAUGACAGGUUGAUGGCAUUAUGCUCACUAAGGCACUAGUAUGUGUAAAUUACAAUUUUCUUUAUUUGAAUAGGUAAAGUUCAUCUGUAUGAGAGUCCUAACCUUAUUUGGGGGGUAGUAUUUAGCUCUUAGAGGGGAGUCCUACUUGAUAGUGAAAGGAGAGGGAAUAUUAUGGCUAAAGAGUCCAAUACGUGUACACCCGUGGUGGUUGGUGUAGGGAGAUUUAUACUCGAUGAGAUAUAUCACUUGCAAUAUUCAGUACCUUCGAGAUCUACAUAUAUGCAUUGGGAUCUGAGAAAAAGAGUUAAUGACAACUGAAGGUAAUAUAUGGUAUCAUAAAUAUUAUUUUUCAGAGUAUGAAUUGUUAAUAUACUAAAUAUGGGUGUUAGAGACUCGAGCAAUCAUCACAAAUAUAAUUUUCUCUCGAAGGAAGUGAAAAUAGAUCAUUGUAGACUUUGUAGUUGGUCUACACAUUCAUAGAGAAAGUUGUGAUUAUAGUUAGAUGAUCAUGAUAUGCUCAACGAGAUCGCAUGCUUGAUUUGCUUAUAUAACAUAAUAGCCUAUGUAGCGAUAUGUUUAAGAAAUAAUGUAAUAUGAUGAGAUGCCCAUAUCUUAUCUGUGACAAGAGUAACAAGGCGUCGAAUAUUUAUAUAGUAGUGUGUGAAUGUAUCCCACCACUGCUGUAUGUGAGAGUGUUAUGUGUUCUAGUGUUGUCGUACAUGAGAGACUUAUGUAGGGCUGCUUGGAUGUAUUUUAAAACUGACGUAUGAAAGAACGGUGGAUGUGUUCCAUUAUAGGAAGGUGGUCGGGGCGCUUUUAUGUGUUCUAGUGCAAUGGAGGCAUUAGAGAGUAUGGAUAUCCUGUCCUAAAAUUAGCCAAAUGGAUAUCAUAUAGCGAGUAGUUCAUGAUUAGCUGCUUUUAACCAAGUUUGUACCUAAUAAUAGUUACUAGCUUGUUAUGCAGAUCUUGUUGUUUGAAUUAAAUGAAGUUGGUGUAAUUCUCCAGUUGGUUGGUUCAAACCUAGUAAGUCACAGCUAUUAGGUCCAGAGUUGGUUCUGCAAGCUAUGAAAAUAAAGGGGCCGUGUUCGUAAGAGAACGACUUCAAGCAGCUUAAAGUAAACAAAAUUCCUAUAAAGAUACGGAAAAUAGUGGUAGGGAGAUCAUGAAGAUGAAAAAAAAUACUUAUUUUGAUACCACGAAGGAUUUAUGAGAUUUUUUCCGAAAGACGAUACGUUCAUAAUGAGAGAUAUAAUUCAACCCGAAGAGGUAGAACUUGAUGAGAAUUUGACUUACUAAAACAGGUGUGAUAGUUAUUCUUGAUAGACAAGCGCGGCAGUUAAGGUCGAAAAAGAUUGCUUAAGUGAAAGUAUUGUGCAAUCAGCCUAUAGAGGAAGCAACGGGAGAGUCCAGGCAGACAAGCAGGUAUCUACCUGUAGAUGUUUGAGACUUCAAUUAUACUUUCUAAUUCGUUCGAGGAUGAACUCUUGCUUAAAUGGGAGAAAAUAUAAUAACCUGAUAUCUUAAGAGUAAGCUUUUAAGUUAUGUUGUUAGUGAUAAUUUAUUUAAUUUUCACAAGUAUUAAUAUGCAUGUACAUAUAUAUUUUUUUUAAAUGAGAUUAUCAUUUACAUAGGUGUAAAGUGCGAUGGCUAGCCAAGUGAUAAUUAAUAAUUAUAUAAUAAUAGAGUGGGCUAAGCCCAUCAUUCUAGUUAUGUGCAAGACCUAGAAUAAGUGAACAAUUAACUUUAGAUAACUAAGAGAAAUUCACUACAAUGUAGAGAGCUUUUCGGUAGUGGCAGGGAUUCUCUUGAACCGUUGGUGGCGUGAACUUAGAGUGCUAGAAAGAGUGAAAUAUUCUUGCGCGUUACAACUCAACUGUGAUAGAAAGGUAUAGAUUUAAUUUUAUCACUAUGGCUAUAUUUCUUGAAUUAAUCUAGGAGGGAUAUUAUCACUAAUUCUUUUUCUUAUAGUGACAAAGAUCGAAUUGGAACAGAGUGGCCAUGGAAAACAUUGUAGUAUUUAUUAGGCCUUGGUAAUAUGAGUAGAAUUUUGUAAUGAAAACCUUACUAUUUAAUAAUGGAUAAGAACUAUUUGAGAUUGUCUUUUUGAAGUCAGAACACUUUGCAUAUGAAAUUCGUUUUAGAGUUUUGUAUAUAUUGUUAAAUUAGUUGCAUUACAUAAAUUCAUGUAAUAAGGUUUGAAUUCCUCAACUCACGUAUAGUUACAGGUGCAUUAAUGAGCGUAAAGUUUAGGACGCUUAGAAACCCUUUUAAGCCAGGCAAAUAAGCUUUGAAUGUGUGAAUUAUUAAGGGUUUAGUCGACUGUUUAGCAUAUCAAUUGUUGGAUUUAGUAUAAAAAUUCAUAUUUGACUUAUCAUAGUAUCAAGAUUGGAACUUGAUGAUAGAUUGGACUCUAUGACUUAUGGGUAACUCGAUAAUAUAAUUUGUUCGGGGAUUUAGCCAUAAUCAACGGGGAGUCGACUUUUGAGUUAACUUUAUUUUGAAUGUUUCAAAAGAAUUAUGAGAUCAAUCUGACUAUCAUAAUUGAUAUCGUUAAUCAAUACUUUUGGAUAGAUUGAUGCUGUUGGAGGCAAUUUGAUUGGUGUUCUAGACGUUGCAAGGUUGGAAAACUUUUCAGUGAGACUUUAAGCUUUGAUGCUUGCUUUUCAACCCGUUUUGAAAAUGUGAUUUCUCUGCCUGAUCCAUGUGUUGGGACAAGCAUGCGCUUGGCAGAAUCGGUGGUCUUAGACUAGCCGUAAAUAUAUUAUUUUAUGAAAAAUAUAAAAAUAUUUUAUAAGUAGUUUGAUAUUUUGAUUUGGGUGUGAGCCAUGGUGUUGAGUUUGAUACGGCUGUGCGCCAUAAUGUUGAGUUUGAUACGGCUGUGCGCCAUGAUGUUGAGUUUGAUAUGUCUGUGCGCCAUGAUGUUGAGUUUGAUACGGCUGUGCGCCAUGAUGUUGAAUUUGAUACGGUUGUGCGCCAUGAUGUUGAGUUUGAUAUGGCUGUGCGCCAUGAUGUUAGUUUGAUACGGCUGUGCGCCAUGAUGUUGAGUUUGAUACGGCUGUGCGCCAUGAUGUUGGAGCAUUGUAUAUGCCUUUGUACAUCACCCAAGCAUUGUGUAUGAUUCUUGAUAUAUUUGGGGCAUUGUGCAUGCUUCUGUGAGCAUUGUGUAUGCUCUGUUACAUAUUUGAGGCAUUGUGGUGCCGUUGUGUUGUGUAUGCUCUGUUACAUAUUUGGGGCAUUGUGUAUGUUUAGGUGUGUUGAUAAAUUUCUUUCACUGCAAUUAUAAUAAGUCCUUAGUGGGUAUUCUUGUGGGUUAAUUCUUAAUAACUCAGUUGAUACACAUAUAUUGAGUUAUUGUAUAAUUAUCAUAUUUACUAUAUCAUUCGUGUUGUGGUAUGUUUGUAUUUUCCAACACUUGUUCCAGAGGUAUUUAAAUUAGCCGGUCAAGGUUCUUACUGGGUUAUAUUUAUGUAAAACUCACUCCUUACCUGCAUCUCUAUGCAGAUACCGUUGCGGGAGAUAGAGCUAGUGGCUGACGAGUUUGUUUGAGUGGAUCCUAUUGCUGAAGUGAGUCAUCGCAUUGUUCGUGGAGGCUUUCGAUUCAGACUUACCUAGUUCAUGUUAGUUAUUUUCUUUUUUUCUUUGGGGUUUGCAUACCCGUCAAUAAAACUCAUAUUACUCUGUUAGAUGCUCUAUGGUCUUAAUGUGAGAUUUGUGCUAGAGUUUUAUUAUUUGAGUGAUUGUU